CGGGAUGUAGCUCAGCUUGGUAGAGCGCCUGCUUUGGGAGCAGGAAGUCGCAGGUUCAAAUCCUGUCAUCCCGACCA
rnacentral:tRNA from 1 species